GAGGUCUGUGACAGGUAGGUUUGUAGGAACAUCAUCAGGUUGGUCGAGGUCUGUGACAGGUAGGUUUGUAGCUGGCACAAUGUACUUAACAUUUACCUUUCCUUCUGCUAUCCAGGCAGCAAUUACUCGUCUCAGAUAUUGGGAGAAUUGGUAGGAGUUUUGAGAUACAUGUUUGCAGUCUUAGUUGCAUCAGUGUGCCUUUAAUGGAAACAAAAAUACAAUGGAAUAAGGAACAUGGCUUUUAUACUGUACUGGUGGGGAAGACAAUUACUUGCAUGUGUGAAAGACCUGAAAGUGAUGGCAAUUUUUGGAUUUUGAUAAAGCAACAAUAUAUAUAUAUGAAAUUUUAUAUAUUGUACACAUAUUCAGUAAUUUUGUGAAAACUUGGUAUUCUUUCAGUUUUAAGAACUACAGUAUUGUCAAUUCAAUCUUAUAUACAGUAAGUUAGUGUUUAAAACUAGUAAUAAGUAUUGUUGAAUAUUUACCUUGC